GCUCCAAUAGCGUAUAUUAACGUUGUUGCAGUUAAAAAGCUCGUAGUUGGAUUUCUGACAGGAGUGACCGGUCCGAGUCGCAAGGCUCGUGUACUUUUUGUGUCUUACUCUAGUCAUCCUUAUGGAGAUCGUGUUUCGGCAUUCAGUUGUCGGGCACGGGACCAUAUCGUUUACUGUGAAAAAUUAGAGUGUUUAAAGCA
rnacentral:rRNA from 1 species